GACGAACGCUGGCGGCGUGCUUAACACAUGCAAGUCGAACGAAGUGGCGAACGGGUGAGUAAUACGUGGGUAACCUGCCCUCCUUUUCGGGAUAAGCCUUGGAAACGGGGUCUAAUACCGAAUAAAGGGGGAUGGGCUCGGGGCUUAUCAGCUUGUUGGUGGGGUGAUGGCCUACCAAGGCGGUGACGGGUAGCCGGCGUGAGAGGGUGACCGGCCACAUUGGGACGGAGAUGCGGCCCAGGGUGGUACGGGAGGGGGCAGUGGGGGAUAUUGAACAAUGGGCGAAAGACUGAUGCAGCGACGCCGCGUGGGGGAUGAAGGCUGUAGGGUUGUAAACCUAUUUCGCUUCAGAAAGGGUAGGUAGAGAAGAAGCGCCGGCUAACUACGUGCCAGCAGCCGCGGUAAUAC
rnacentral:rRNA from 1 species